rnacentral:lncRNA from 1 species
GGUGGAGAGUUAUGGUGGCGCGUGUUACAGGCUCAGGGGUCAGGAAGAAGCCUAAUCCUGGAGGCGGCAUCUGAGGAGGGUCUUGAACGCUGGGCAGGCUUUUGCCCGAUAGAGAUGGAGGAAGCUAGUCCUGUCUGAUGGAGGAAACAGGGCAGAGGCGUGGAGGGAGAUGCGCAGUGCUGGUGUGAGGAGCCGCGAGCAGGCCAGGCCUGUAAAGCAGAGUGAUGGGAACCAGGAUAGAGAAGGCAAAUCGGGGUCCUGCGGUCGCUGAAGAAUUUGAAUGAAAUCAUUAAACAGAUCCUAGAGGCAAAGCUUUCAAGUUUUCACCAUUCAGUAUAAUGUUGCCUGUGGGUUAUCACAUAUGGUCUUUAUUUUAUUAUGUUCUUUUAUAACUAAUUUGUUAAAAGGUUUGAUCAUAAAAGGAUGUCUAA